UCGCGACAUGCGGUCUCUCAU
rnacentral:miRNA from 1 species